rnacentral:tRNA from 1 species
GCCUUCGUAGUGUAGUGGUCAGCACACUCGACGCGUUUUCGAGAGGUCCGUAGUUCGAGUCCCGGCGAAGGCU